rnacentral:rRNA from 1 species
CGGCUCAGUAACACGUGGAUAACCUACCCUUGAGACGGGGAUAAACCCGGGAAACUGGGUAUAAUACCCGAUAGAUCUCGACUGCUGGAAUGCAUCGAGCUUGAAAGCUCCGGCGCUCAAGGAUGGGUCUGCGGCCUAUCAGGUAGUAGUGGGUGUAGCGUACCUACUAGCCUACGACGGGUACGGGUUGUGAGAGCAAGAGCCCGGAGAUGGAUUCUGAGACACGAAUCCAGGCCCUACGGGGUGCAGCAGGCGCGAAAACUUUACGAUGCUGGAAACAGCGAUAAGGGACCUCGAGUGCCAGGUUACAAAUCUGGCUGUCGUGAUGCCUAAAAAGCAUUGCAUAGCAAGGGCCGGGCAAGACCGGUGCCAGCCGCCGCGGUAACACCGGCGGCUCGAGUGGUAACCGUUAUUAUUGGGUCUAAAGGGUCCGUAGCCGGCCGGAUAAGUCUCUUGGGAAAUCUGGCAGCUUAACUGUCAGGCUUUCAGGAGAUACUGUCUGGCUCGAGGCCGGAGAGGUGAGAGGUACUUCAGGGGUAGGGGUGAAAUCUUGUAAUCCUUGAAGGACCACCAGUGGCGAAGGCGUCUCACCAGAACGGACCUGACGGCAAGGGACGAAAGCUAG